CUCAGGGCCGCCACUCAUCGUGAUUGCGACGGAAGAACAACGUAACUCGUGUCUGGAUGAAUGGACAAGAGAGGCAAGUCGUUAAUGGAUCAGGCUCUUCUCCAGUCAGAAGUGAGAAGCGACGAGCGCGCAAGGCUGAGGGAACGAAUGCGGGUCCAGCUGUGAACGUGUUAUAAGGUCCUUUUUUGCGAGAUGUUGAACUUCCGAGUAUACGAGGAAGUACGGAAUAAGCAUGAGUCCUACUACUACCAACUUAUCAGACAUCGUCUAAAGUCAGACGCGUGCGAUUGGACCAAAUGCCAUAAGUGGAACAUGGGAACAGUCCGGAUUUCUGGUCCACAAUCACGUCGCGCAUGUCGGCCUCGUCAAUGAAUAGAUAACGAAGGAGAAUGAGCUAGUUGAGUCGGUUUGAUACAUCGGCGACAUCGCCGCAACAUUCAUCUGCAUAAUUCAUUCUUAUCAGUACGAUUCCCUCAAGCAGAGAUUCUCAACCGAUACGGCA